CAGGUUGCUGUGGGUACUGCAGAGCCACUGCUGAGGAGGGACUGGCAAAAAGGCAGAAGAGCAGCGCCCAUAGGAAUCUGCUGGAUACUGUCUCCAUCCAGUUUGAUGCACUGUCCUGGCUUUCUGCUGCUUCUCCUUGUGCUGGUGAUGGUCCACCACGUUCAGCUCUUUUUGCUUGGCCUUCUGAUGACAUGGAUAAAUAGAUGCCUCCUGUAGCAGGGACCAUCAUGUUAUUCCAUAAGCAUCUUGCGUGCCUGAGGCCAGUGGGAUCAGCACAGGGCAGGUUCCCAGCCCCACACCCGGCCUUACUCCCACCUCCCACUCCGCGCUGCUGCUCUCAUCCCGCCCGGCCUCAGCUCCGCCCUUGGCCCAAGCAGCUCCCACGGCCGAGCUCCCGUUGGGCAACGCUCACGUCAAUCAACGCGUCCGGAACCAGUGGGAUCGCGAGGACUCGCAGGAGGGAAGCAGCGAGCACCGCCCAACCCUUGUUGAGCGCUGAUUGGUUUCCUGGCGCCGAUGGGCGGGACUUCGCGUCUCCCUCCUCGGGAUUGGGCGGCGGCGCCGUCAAACAGGGGCGGCUCCUUCCGGUCUGGGGCCGCGUGUCUCGCGUGGGAGCGGGGCGGGGGGGGGCGAGGAACCGGCGGG